rnacentral:rRNA from 1 species
CAGUCGCCGCGGGAAUACAGAGGGUGCGAGCGUUAAUCGGAUUUACUGGGCGUAAAGCGUGCGUAGGCGGCUUCUUAAGUCGGAUGUGAAAUCCCUGAGCUUAACUUAGGAAUUGCAUUCGAUACUGGGAAGCUAGAGUAUGGGAGAGGAUGGUAGAAUUCCAGGUGUAGCGGUGAAAUGCGUAGAGAUCUGGAGGAAUACCGAUGGCGAAGGCAGCCAUCUGGCCUAAUGCUGACGCUGAGGUACGAAAGCAUGGGGAGCAAACAGGAUUAGAUACCCCUGUAGUCCCUGUCUCUUAUAU